GGUGAGGAAGGUUUACAUAACCACAGUGAAGCUUUGAGAGCCAGAGGUCAUGAGUUCCACAAAGCUGUGCGUGAUGCGAUGCUGAACCUACAAAUCGAACCUAAUUGUAGCCUCGUUACAAGGAAUGCUCUCAAGAGUCUGUCUUGGGUAUUUAAAGGAAUUUCUAAAGUCGCGGCGGUGGAAAGUGCGGUAGCUCAUCCUACACUGGAAUACAAGGGAGUCGUUGACUGCGUUGCAAUUUUCAGAAAAACGCCAGUUCUUAUUGAUUGGAAGUUGUCAAGUAAGCGAAAGAAAACACUGAAAGAAACUUAAUGAUGCCCCAGUUCAAAUUUCAGCUUAUCUUGGUGCCUUCAACCAUGAUCCCAAUUAUGAGUGGAGAGUGAACCAUGGCAUGGUGGUAAUAGCGUAUACAUCUGGAGAACCUUGUGAUGUAUUUCUCCUCUCACCUCAAUACUGUAAAAUUUACUUGGCGUCACUGGCUUAAACGUUUGAAUAAAUUCAAGAACACAAAUCGCCUUCAUCUUAUUCAUGAUAUUAAUGAGGACGAUCUGGAAGUUUAAUAGUGAUAAAAUUUGUUAUUUUUGCUGUUUGUUGUUUUAAAAACAUAAUUUUUGAUAUAAUUUUCUUUUUACUUUUACUUAUAAUCAAAACAGCAUAUAAUGUACCAUUCAACUAAACAUAAUGGAAUAUGAAGUUCAGCACCACAGUAUAUCUUAACAAGACAACGGGAGAAAUUAUAAACUAAAGGAUUAUAUAAUAAAGUCAGAUAAAUAGAUGUGUCAUUUAUACUA